rnacentral:rRNA from 1 species
AUGCACGCUGGCGGCGUGCCUAAUCCAUGCCAGUCGAGCGCACAGACGAGGAGCUUGCUCCUCUGACGUUAGCGGCGGACGGGUGAGUAACACGUGGAUAACCUACCUAUAAGACUGGGAUAACUUCGGGAAACCGGAGCUAAUACCGGAUAAUAUAUUGAACCGCAUGGUUCAAUAGUGAAAGACGGUUUUGCUGUCACUUAUAGAUGGAUCCGCGCCGCAUUAGCUAGUUGGUAAGGUAACGGCUUACCAAGGCAACGAUGCGUAGCCGACCUGAGAGGGUGAUCGGCCACACUGGAACUGAGACACGGUCCAGACUCCUACGGGAGGCAGCAGUAGGGAAUCUUCCGCAAUGGGCGAAAGCCUGACGGAGCAACGCCGCGUGAGUGAUGAAGGUCUUCGGAUCGUAAAACUCUGUUAUUAGGGAAGAACAAAUGUGUAAGUAACUAUGCACGUCUUGACGGUACCUAAUCAGAAAGCCACGGCUAACUACGUG